AAGUGAAUGAAAUGCAUAAUAAAAGAAUAUUUAUGAAAACAAAGAAUUCAUAAACUAAUUAAAUUAUAUCUAAGAUAAAUAGAAAUAAGUGGCAAGUAACAAAUUAACCCGCCUUUGAAAUUGAAUAAAAUUAAUAAUAGUGAUAUUUAUCGGUAAAUUUAAUUUAUUCGUAAAAAAUAAUGGAAUCUAUUACAUUCUAUAUUUUCAAAUUGAAAAUUAAACGCCGACAUAACGAAGCAUAACAAUAGAUAGUAUAUAACCACAUAAAUCACAAAAACAAGACUUCAUAUGUAUGAGAAAAUAUUAUUCUUUAUUUUUAAUCGCUGUCGAAUACCCAUCGGACAAAUUGCAAGGAAUUUAUAGGGGUUCAUAAAAAAAAAUAUUUUCAAUUUAUCUUUUAUGUAAAAUCUGGAUUGUUCUAUUAUUUCGAUUAUAUCACUUGUUCGUAUAUUAUGAUUACGACUGUAUUGCAUUAUAUUGCGUCUCAUAAUUACACGCUACCGACACGCGAGAUAGUUCCUAUAAUUAUCGAUUGGCACGAGUGCGACACGCGGAGAGAUUGAAGGAAACAUGCGUUCCCUUAAAAGAAUCAUAUUUUAUUUUAGUUCAUAGCUUUACGUAUCAGCCAAUUCGAAUAAUGUAUCGAACUGCAUCGAGUUUCCGCGGUUAGAAUAGGAUUACUAACUUCGCAAAAUGAACGUAUAAUGUAAAAUUCAAGCAGCUGAACGGAUAUACUUAUUCAAAUAUAUUUAACCUCGUUGCAUUGUAAUGAAUUCGCGACAAUGAAUUCGCGAUAAUGAAUUCGCGCAGUAGUCAUUUAACGGAAGUCAUCAUAGUUCUCCGAGACUGACAUCUCAAUCACUCGAUAAAACCCAUAAAAAAUUCAAAUUCUACAGGAUGAGAACGAACUAUAGUUGUGCUGCGCUAUAAUUUACACAAAUUGGACUACGUACUUGUUCUCUAAGUGAUAACAUACAAGAUGAAUUUUUACACUUGUUUUUUUCUUAAUAAAGUGAAAGUGAUCAAAACAUGAUAUAUAGAUAAUACGAAAGGAAAAUAUUUGCUUAAAACUACGUGAUUCUUGAAAACAUAUAAAUCUUACUUCAUCCAAUUUUCCAUCCAACGAAUAACUUUAUAUCAUUAGAUAUUAAAACCUUCUAUCUCUUCCACAGCUUUUUACAUCAAAAUUCAGGCCGGAGCUAUUAUAAAUUUCCCCAAUGAUGUAAAUAGUAUCUCAAGCAAAAUUGCUCGACCUUGAUAUUUGCUAUGCGCGUUAUCCUCAUUUUUUCAUCAGAAAUUCGUUAACAAUGUAAUCAACACAUAACAAAAGACAUUUUCGCAGCGAUCUGUUAUAGAUAUUCAUUCGACAAUGUGCAACCGUGUUCGUCGUAACAAUUACUGUCGAUUAAUAGCAACGUUUCUCCAUAAUAUCGUUUCCAUCCGACGAAAAUAUCUUCACGGGCACGUUAUCGUCGUGUAUUAUUGAAGGCGUAAAAGAUCGACGUAACUUGCAAAAAUGAAGAUUCGUAAACAGACGAUGUUAUGUCUUUUGGUAUCUUUUGUUUCAAACGUUUGCUAACGUCUCGUAAUAUACAAUUUAACUUCGAAACUUUUCAGUAAAUAUUUUUAACUAGACCUUUCGAAAAUUAAAAGUUUACGAUCUAUUGCUAAUAAUAAUGAAAUAACGAUGAAAAUGAAUGGUGUUAAAAAACAUUCUCUAGCAAAUUUCACCCCGAAAUAUAUUACAUUUAAAUGUCAAAUUUUCGGGUGACCUAUUAUUUCGUCCACUCGAUGAAAAUUGUGUAAGAAGAAAAGUGUAAAAAAAAAGCACCUACCUUGCUGGAUAGAAGACCAGCAGUCGGUGUACGAUCGUUAGGAUCGGACUCCGGGAUCGGUUCAUUCGGGUUCUCCAUGUGCAUACCUGGCCAUCCAACCCA